UGGAUGCUUUCUUUGUUUUGUUUAGUUAAAUUGAUCGCGAAACUCCAAGAUGGAACUACAUUUUUGAAGAAAGGGUAUGAUGAGGUGUCAUUUAGGUUCAAAAUAGAUGAAGGUUUGACAUUGCUUAGAAGUGGUGGAAGAAUGGUUUACUCAACAUGCUCUAUGAAUCCUGUGGUAAAUGAGGCUGUAGUGUCGAGUGGAGGGAAGGAUUCCAACAGUGGGGAUGUUGUCGAACAGAGGACAUAUGCAAAAUGUAUAAUGCGUCUUUUGCAACGGCGGGUUAUCUAUUAAUUACCAGCAGGUUUGCGGAAGGAGUAUGGCAUCACAUAAAAAAGUUUGUUGAAUAUACCCUUGGGCCAAAAUAGUAAUACAAUUUGUGAAAAAAAUGAGUAUAAACGACUUGGAUUUUUCAGCGGCUCGAAGAAGAUUGAUUCAUGCAGUCUAUGCUUUAACGAUGUCGAGUAUAUGGAAAACAAGAAAUGGGAAAGUGUUCAAAGCAUGCUUACAUGAGAAGUCAUUUCUUCUUGAGGUCAAAACAUGAUAUAUGAAUGCACCUACACUUGUAGCCAAACAUGAUGUUGCGGUGGCUCGUGAUUUCUGAUGUCUAAUUCUUAUAUUGAUAAUAUGGGUUAGAGCAAGCACAUUUUUACUAUUUAAAAUAUGGUAUGACCAUUGUUAUAUUCCUAUAUGCUAUAUGUUUACCAAAUUUUUCGCUUACCAUGGUAGAUGCAAAGUUAUUAAACCAGGUUUUGUUAAGAAUUUUUUAAAAUGUUCAUUUGGAACGUACCAAUGGGAGUGUUUCGAGUUUGACAAAUUCACAGUUGGAACUGAGGCAACUGCAAAGAAGCUAGCUGAACUCAGUGGAAAGGGAGUGACUACAAUCAUUGGAGGUGGUGAUUCUGUGGCCACAGUAGAGAAAGUUGGAGUGGCGGAUGCGAGUUUGGAGUUAUUGAAAGGCAAAGUUCUCCCAGGUGUUGAUGCUUAAACGGGCGCAACUGUCUCUGCGUAAGACGUAGUUCUAAACCUGAUUCGUUAUUUUUUUUAAUGCUAACUCAACUAUGUUUAAGUGGGUCUGUAAACAAUAACAUGAGUUUGUCAUAGAUGUUUCAUCAUUAA